GCGGCCGGCGCUGCACAGGGGUCCUCCGCGGAGGUGGAACAGGUGGGGACAGGGCAGGCUCCUACCUUGCUGUGGAGUACGAAGCCAUGCGGCUGCUGUGCAGAACGGUUGGGAGGCUCCCCAAAAGCUAACCCCCAGCUCCCCGUGCUCAGCCGCUCCACCCCACGCUGGGUGGGAGAGAACUGGAAGCAGGGAGGCACACCAGGGCCGGGCAGGUCUGCGGCACUCUGUUCACAGCUGCAGGGUUGGGGUGCUCAGUGGUUAGGGCGCCAGGCUCCUGCGAAGCCUGGGGUUCCAUCCACAGCGCCAUCCAGAGUCCUGUUGGAGGAGCUGGUGAUCUCUGUGGCCUUAGGUGCAGUGGGCAUUAUUCUGCCACAGAAAGAAAGGAAACACAGGACAUGCUGUAACGGGUGGACCUUGCUGAACGUCCUGGUUGGCGCGAGGAGCUAACCCCAAAGGCCUUUAGUCGUGAUGUUCCUGUGACCUGUGCAGAGCGGGUCAUCCAGAGGCGGAGGUGGACUCCUGGUUGCCGGGAGCCGGCAAGAGUUCUGGAACCUGCAGCAACCUCAUGGCACAGGUAUUGAUGACCCUGGGAAGUCCCGGCAUCUUUCAUCUCACUUAUUCACGCAGAUGAAACUAUCUCCAGCGUCGGCGGCAGAACUGUUGGUCAUCUGCACCCAGGGUCGGGCAUGGCUCAGAGAGCCUCAUGGACGGCAGUCCAAGUGCCUGUGAGAAUUCACAGGCAGUAUCAAUUUCCCAGGCUAAGCAAGAUCAACUGGGUGUGUGCAGGGCUCCUUCUGAAGGGUCUCUAGGUUGCCCAGGCUGACCUCGAACUUGCGAUCCUCCUACCUCAGCCUCCGGAGUGACUGUGAUAGCAGGCGUCUUAGGGUGCCUACUUGGACUGAUCUAGGACACAGCUCUGCCCUCCUCCUUCCAAACAAGCCACAAACAGCACCUAAGAAAGGGGCCGUGACCCCGCAACCACGAAACGGCACUUCUGGGACUGGAGUGUGGCUCAGAGGUAGAGGGCCCCACGAGGCCCUGGGCUGGAGCCUCAGCACCGAAAAAUAAA